rnacentral:SRP_RNA from 1 species
CAAGCUUGUAACCCGAGUGGGGGCUUUGAGGUGCUGGAACAUUGGCUCAGUAUUAGCUGGUCGGGUUCGGGUUGGCUAUUUACUGGCCCGCCCAUUCCAAGCCAGGAGUUGAACCCUGUGGCUCGAGCGAAGGCUCUGGGUUACUUGGUUUCUAGAGCGGAGGGAACCGCGUAAGGCUGGCUUCACAGAGCAACGACUACCUCCCGCUCUUGGCAGUGGAAGGAUAACGGGUCGGUGGUCACUUGGAUCCCAUCAUGGCUC